CCUACGGGUGGCUGCAGUGGGGAAUAUUGGACAAUGGGGGCAACCCUGAUCCAGCCAUGCCGCGUGUGUGAAGAAGGCCCUCGGGUUGUAAAGCACUUUCAGUGAGGAAGAACGCCUGGUGGUUAAUACCCAUCAGGAAAGACAUCACUCACAGAAGAAGCACCGGCUAACUCCGUGCCAGCAGCCGCGGUAAUACGGAGGGUGCGAGCGUUAAUCGGAAUUACUGGGCGUAAAGCGCGCGUAGGUGGCUUGAUAAGCCGGUUGUGAAAGCCCCGGGCUCAACCUGGGAACGGCAUCCGGAACUGUCAAGCUAGGGUGCAGGAGAGGAAGGUAGAAUUCCCGGUGUAGCGGUGAAAUGCGUAGAGAUCGGGAGGAAUACCAGUGGCGAAGGCGGCCUUCUGGACUGACACUGACACUGAGGUGCGAAAGCGUGGGUAGCAAACAGGAUUAGAUACCCGUGUAGUC
rnacentral:rRNA from 1 species